rnacentral:rRNA from 1 species
UACGAAGGGGGCUAGCGUUGCUCGGAAUCACUGGGCGUAAAGCGCACGUAGGCGGAUUGUUAAGUCGGGGGUGAAAUCCUGGAGCUCAACUCCAGAACUGCCUUCGAUACUGGCGAUCUUGAGUCCGGGAGAGGUGAGUGGAACUCCGAGUGUAGAGGUGAAAUUCGUAGAUAUUCGCAAGAACACCAGUGGCGAAGGCGGCUCACUGGCCCGGUACUGACGCUGAGGUGCGAAAGCGUGGGGAGCAAACGGG